rnacentral:tRNA from 1 species
GUUCGUGUAGCUCAGAUGGAUAGAGUAUUUGUCUACGAAACAAAGGGUCGCAGGUUCGAAUCCUGCCUCGAACG